AAGUCGUAACAAGGUAACCGUAGGUGAACCUGCGGUUGGAUCAUUAACAAAUGAUUUGGUUUUAAACCAAAACACAUUGUGCAAUUAUAUCUGUCUCUGGUGGUCGGUUUCAUGGUUUUUUUUGUUGUUACUUUCUUUAGGUCUUGAAGCAAGAAUUGCCAGUGACAUUUGAAAUGACUUUGGUCAUUGAGAAUUGAGGCAGAUUCGAGCUGAUGAUAUUUCCUUUGAAGGCUGCAGAAAAAUCGCGAUCACCAAAUGAACAAACAUUUUGAUUUAUUUUUUAUGUCUGAAUCAUUCACUAUUUGUGCAAUGAAAAAACAACUUUUGACAACGGAUCUCUUGGCUCUC
rnacentral:misc_RNA from 1 species